UACAGAGGGUGCAAGCGUUGUCCGGAUUUACUGGGCGUAAAGAGCGCGUAGGCGGCUCGUUAAGUGUGAAGCUAAAUCUCUUGGCUCAACCAAGAAAUCAUUUCGCAUACUGGCGGGCUGGAGUGAUGCAGAGGUGGAUAGAAUUCCCGGUGUAGCGGUGAAAUGCGUUGAUAUCGGGAGGAAUACCCGUGGCGAAGGCGGUCCACUGGGCAUCAACUGACGCUGAGGCGCGAAAGCGUGGGUAGCAAACAGG
rnacentral:rRNA from 1 species